UGUAAUGGGCUUAUUAUGGGCAUAACUCAAUUUUAGAGGUAACAGCCUAUAACAAAAGGUAGCACGCCCAAUAAGCAAAAUGAAACGAGUCGAGUUUUUUUUCCUUUUAUAUUUUCUUAAUGAAAAUCAAUUUUGCCUUUUGGAGCUGCGUUUCAUGUCGACGAACUUCUUUCGCGGCAAUUUCAAAAUCAAACUCCUAUGGUUUCCUUCUCAAUCAGAUUCGGCAGACAUUCGAGUGCAAAGGAACUAACAAGUAUCGAUGAACAGAUACAGAUCAAUGAAUUUGAGGUAAAUAGUUCGCAGUCCAACAAAUUUUCUCUAUGACAGACCUCUGGUCUCUGGACAAGUUGCUGAAUUCUGAUAAUGGUGAUCAUAUUGACUGAUUGUACAUGAAAAAUGCUUUCUAUGUGAAGAUAGGAAGAACAUUGGGCACUAAUUAACAGAGUCAGAGAGACCCUUUCACGAGUUUCAUCCAACUCCUACCUUGUGAUUUUCCAGAGGUACACUGACCAUUAAAUCUUUUUGAAACCAAAGUAUGGACUAGUCUUCUUGAAUAUGACUUAGAGAUAUAUUAGAUGGUUCAUUAACUGAUAGUGUCAAAUAUCUCCAAGUAAUUUCGAUAAUUCUUGGUAGUGGAUUGAAGGAAUCUAUACAAUACUGUUCUGAGUUAUUCAGUUCUGUGCCAAAGUUAGGGUGAGAUUUUUUUCAUGUUGGAAAAAAGAAAAAGUUACACGUACAUAAACCUAAUUUAAAAAACAAAGUAUCAGCAGGAACUGUCAAAUUUUUGAUAAUGAAAAUAUGAAAAUGAUCUGUCUUGAAAUGUUUCUUUCAUCUGCUGCUGCAAAUAUGAAAUAUGAAAUGAUAGAUUCUGCUAAUAAUAAGUUUAUGAUUCAAUUUAAUUUCUUUUCUUUACUUCUAGACUUGAAAGACUUAAUCUAGAAGUGUCACUGAAGAUAAUUAUACUGGCCUGUAAUCAACAUCAUACCUCAAAAAAAAGGCACAAUCAUUAUGGUACAUUCCGUAGAUGAUAAGAUUAUUCAGUUUUUCCACCACUAAAAAAGGCAUUGCAUAAUUGCAUUGCUUGGCUGAGUGAAAAUACCUCAUGUCAUGGAGACUUAGCAUUUAUGUAAUCCAAGUGGACCAUUCUUGAACUGAAAGUGCAUAGAAUAAAACACCCUCCAUCUUUGUAGGAUUCAUCUUAAUCUGAUUAGCUUAUAGUAAAUACAGAGUGCAGUUUUAGAACCCUAUAAAAGGCAAGCUUCCUAAGCAAUAAAAUACAUCAUUAUAAAAGGCAAGUGUACAAUAGAGCAUCUAAACUUCAAUUCAAAGAAUUGUUUAACUUGAAUACACUUCCAUUAUGAAGGUCAAGCUGAUCCCAUCAUUCUACCAAACUCCAAAACCUUCAUCAACUACUUCAGUUUGUUACCUUGUUAAUCAGGACAGAAAACCUUUAUCAAUCCAAGCACUUUCGUAUCUUGUCCCUGACAGUAAAAAUGGUUCUGUCAAUCAUUUGGACAGCUAUUUUGGUGCUGUUGCUGAUGAAUCAGUUGACAUGAAGGCCUCAAGCUACAUUUCUUCAGUUAAAGCACGCUUUAGGCAUGAACUCACUUAUUCAGAGUGAGUAUACAUCUAGGGCCACAGAGUUUUGAUAUGUUCUUUCAUACUGUGUCCGAGUCAUUAUGCUAUACCUUGUAUACAAAUUGAGGUUAUGGUAAUAACUAGUUGUCUUUGUUACUCAUUUUGCACCAUAAUUUGGAUAUAGGUGCUUUUAAAGGUUUCUCUGGUAAAAGACAAUUAUAUAAAUACAUACAAGUAUUUAUUUGUGUAAAAGCUGCUUUUAUCACAAAUUAAUCCUUUUUUAAUUCAAACCUGUUAUAUACCUGUGUGCAACUCUAUCAAGUCCUCAUAGUGAGGAACCACAAAAGGUGGAAAGUUGGCUGUACAACUAUCCAAAUUUAUAUAAAUACAUACGAGUAUUUAUUUGUGUAAAAGCUGCUUUUACCACAAAUUGAUCCUUUUUUAAUACGAACCUGAAACAUACCUGUGUACAACUCUAUCAACUAAUCAUAGUAUGAAACCACAAAAGGUGGAAAGUUGGCUAUAGAACUAUCCAAAUAAUCCAAUUCCACAAAAUUCUCUUCUUGAUAAGAGAUUUUGAAGUUAAUUCUUGAGGCAUAAACCAAUGAGGAGGUAACGAGUAGGUUUGUAAUUAAUGGCAUAACAAAUGCUGUAAGACAAUCUUACUGUCUAAUCUGCAUUACUUGGCCUCGACUCUUCUGAUUUUCAGGAUUAAAAAAAAAAAAUAGAAAAAUCAGGAAUCACAGGCCUUGUAUUUUCAAAAGUUAAGGAUUCCUUCUGAUUGCAUCUGUAUUUUUUCCUCCUGGUAAGGUUGUUGAUAAUUCAUGAAUCCCAAUCAAUUCUUUCUUAGCAGCAUCUGGUUCUACACUUCAAUUAUUGCAAGUUCCCUUAAGGUCUAAUAUGUAACUUGUAAUGGAAGUCCAAAAGUUCGAGUGAGCCACCAAAAUUCUUUUUCCAGCAUAUGCCAUCUUAAUUGUUAAUUUUAAUACUUCAUAUUGAACGAUUUUCCUUUUUGUAAUAUACAUAUGAUGGAUCACAAGUAUUAAAAUCUUGAAAUACAACUGGUACAGACCCCAUCAAAAUCUUUCUUAUCUUGAACUUUAUUUUGAAUUAUCUUCCCAAUUAAGCUUUCUGACAUUAUUCUGCAUCCUUGAGCCACGAAAGGAUCAUGCCAUGAUGAUACUGAUGAUGAGACUCCCAGGAUCCUUUGGUACAAAGAUCAUGUGCAUGAACAAUCUGACUCAGUUAAACUUUUGAUCCACUUGUGAAUUGUUCUUAUUUCUUCGUGAUGACCCAAAGAGAUGGUUUUUGAGUCGGUUGUUUGCUCAAGAAAGGCAAACACCUUAAAAUUCAUCACCAAUAACGUAAUGAAUUUCCUUAUCUUCAAAAAGUCCACAAAAUUUAUUCGUUAACAUCAUCUUUCUCUGCUUAGUCACUUUGUUAGAAUAUCAUUGUUUUCCUUAAACACUAUUCCCUUCCCGGCCUCUCAUAAUCUUCUCCUCCUCAAUCUCCUGUCUGCCUUUUAACCUCUAAAUAAAGGGAUAAAAGGUUCUUUGUAAUAAAGCUUAUUGGUCCAUUGCAAAAUAUACCAACACUACAAAAUCUUAUAAAUCGAAAUAUACUAUUCUCUCCAUCCUUGGUUCAUCCCAUGAGAGUUUAAAGCUAAGGGUGAGCCACUUUCUCAUGUAGUCGUGGAUAUGCCUUCUAUGCUUGCCAAUAUAAAAGAUUUCAACUCUCUGCCUCUAAUUUGGUCAGCUUCUAAAAUCAGAGGAGAAUUUAUCCCACUUAACAUAUUCUAGUGACUUUACAAUUAGACAGAUGCAGAGAGGUUCUUCAAAAAAAUUAUCUUACAUACCACCUUUUGUCACCAAUAUCAGAUUUUUAAUUUGGGUUUACCAUAAGGAAUAGAUUUUCUGUACUGAUCCUGAUUUACAGGAACCUGCAAAGUUGGACAACAUCGAGCCUUUUUAAUGCCUUAUAUCCCAGAGUUCCGAAGUACGCGUGUAAUAAGUGCACGAUAAUGCUAAGAAAAACAUCCUAUCUUUUAAUUGAUUUGAUUCCAUUUCCCUUACAUUGAUUAAAAAUAUGGUUAAAGAUAUGAAUUAAACAAUUAACUAUAGAAAAGGGACUAGAUUAUGGAGGAGCUGAACUAGGAUUGCUUCAUUAUCACCCUGAUGGCGAAUAAAAGCAAGUGUUCAGGUAUGUUCUCUUUACACUAGCUAGUGUUUUUUUCAGAAUUAUAAAUAAUUAGUACACGCGGAUUAACCAUCGUUUAGAAGGAAUCAUUAAGUGAUUCGGUUAGAUAUUUUUUUUUCACUUUUGUAUGAUUUGCAUACUAGAUUCCCCAUUUCUCCUAAUUGUUUAAACACUAAAGUUCUGUAAACAGAUAAACUUUGAUUAAUUAAAAAUCAUUUAACCACCCUGAACAUUAACCUACCAAUUGAGUUGAACCGUCAUUUUCAUACCUGAAAGAAUAUAUUUCAUUUCUAUCUUUAUAAUAACUUUAUGGACCACUAAAAGAUGCACCAAAAACUCACUACUUAAGGCCCCCUCCAGUUAGUGAAGAAGCUAACCACACAAAGGUAAACACAUCAGUAUACACUACACAUACACAACAAAAAAUAGCAGAGAUGGGAGUGGUCAGGACAUCCUUCUUCAGAGCAACAGAACCUUCAUCGACUCUCAGAUAUGUGAGGCCGAAUCAGACGUUUCCAACUGCCGCGUUGGUUGACUAUGUUGUCAACCACGAUGCCAAACCUCAGAUGGCACGAAAAGUUUCGUUCAUCACAGGAGACAGUUAUAACUCUUACAAGCCAGAUUCAGUUGAGGAGUCCAGUAACUACUUAGGAGCACCUGCUGAUGAUUGUGUUGAUUUUAAGGCUGCUAACUACAUCCUCCAAAGGAAACUCAGCCUUCAAUAUGAUUCUGAUUAACAGCUAAGCUCUUCCUAUGAAUGUAGCUUGAAAGUUGUCUCAAUUUUCUGCUUUCUGGCUUUGUAGUUUAUGACUUUGUUUUUAGGAGUUGGAAACUUGGAAGCACUAUGUAAGUUUUUUUAAUGAAACUGACAUCAUGUGUAACAAACCAUAAAGAUAUAUAAAUCUUCUGUUCUCUUGUACUUC